GGUAUAAUAGCUCAGUGGUAGAGUGCGUGCUUAGCAUGCAUGAGGUCCUAUGUUCGAUCCCCAGUACCU
rnacentral:tRNA from 1 species